GAAUGUGAGAAUGAUCUGGCUGAGACAUCUGUCACCCCAUUGAUGUCCAGGGUUGAUUCUGCUGACCUUGCUGGCUAACCGGGUGUCCCCUUCUUCCCUCAGAGCUCUAUGUGCAUCCCUCUUGAAGCUGUGCCCACAGUCAAAGAGGACAACCUUCCCUGAAUAGAGGAUGACCAGCGUUCAGUCAAGUGUAUAUGAGUAGAAAUGCUCCUCUGCUAUAAACUCCAAAUCAGCUCUGAAAAUAAAGUUCUGGGUGGAGAGAGUGCUCAGUGGUUAAAGAUGCUUACUUAUGGGCUAUAGAGAUGGCUUAGUGGUUAAGUGCUUGCCUGU
rnacentral:snRNA from 1 species